GAUCCUGGCUCAGGACGAACGCUGGCGGCGUGCCUAAUACAUGCAAGUCGAACGCUUCUUUUUCCACCGGAGCUUGCUCCACCGGAAAAAGAGGAGUGGCGAACGGGUGAGUAACACGUGGGUAACCUGCCCAUCAGAAGGGGAUAACACUUGGAAACAGGUGCUAAUACCGUAUAACAAUCGAAACCGCAUGGUUUUGAUUUGAAAGGCGCUUUCGGGUGUCGCUGAUGGAUGGACCCGCGGUGCAUUAGCUAGUUGGUGAGGUAACGGCUCACCAAGGCGACGAUGCAUAGCCGACCUGAGAGGGUGAUCGGCCACAUUGGGACUGAGACACGGCCCAAACUCCUACGGGAGGCAGCAGUAGGGAAUCUUCGGCAAUGGACGAAAGUCUGACCGAGCAACGCCGCGUGAGUGAAGAAGGUUUUCGGAUCGUAAAACUCUGUUGUUAGAGAAGAACAAGGAUGAGAGUAACUGUUCAUCCCUUGACGGUAUCUAACCAGAAAGCCACGGCUAACUACGUGCCAGCAGCCGCGGUAAUACGUAGGUGGCAAGCGUUGUCCGGAUUUAUUGGGCGUAAAGCGAGCGCAGGCGGUUUCUUAAGUCUGAUGUGAAAGCCCCCGGCUCAACCGGGGAGGGUCAUUGGAAACUGGGAGACUUGAGUGCAGAAGAGGAGAGUGGAAUUCCAUGUGUAGCGGUGAAAUGCGUAGAUAUAUGGAGGAACACCAGUGGCGAAGGCGGCUCUCUGGUCUGUAACUGACGCUGAGGCUCGAAAGCGUGGGGAGCAAACAGGAUUAGAUACCCUGGUAGUCCACGCCGUAAACGAUGAGUGCUAAGUGUUGGAGGGUUUCCGCCCUUCAGUGCUGCAGCUAACGCAUUAAGCACUCCGCCUGGGGAGUACGACCGCAAGGUUGAAACUCAAAGGAAUUGACGGGGGCCCGCACAAGCGGUGGAGCAUGUGGUUUAAUUCGAAGCAACGCGAAGAACCUUACCAGGUCUUGACAUCCUUUGACCACUCUAGAGAUAGAGCUUCCCCUUCGGGGGCAAAGUGACAGGUGGUGCAUGGUUGUCGUCAGCUCGUGUCGUGAGAUGUUGGGUUAAGUCCCGCAACGAGCGCAACCCUUAUUGUUAGUUGCCAUCAUUUAGUUGGGCACUCUAGCAAGACUGCCGGUGACAAACCGGAGGAAGGUGGGGAUGACGUCAAAUCAUCAUGCCCCUUAUGACCUGGGCUACACACGUGCUACAAUGGGAAGUACAACGAGUCGCAAAGUCGCGAGGCUAAGCUAAUCUCUUAAAGCUUCUCUCAGUUCGGAUUGUAGGCUGCAACUCGCCUACAUGAAGCCGGAAUCGCUAGUAAUCGCGGAUCAGCACGCCGCGGUGAAUACGUUCCCGGGCCUUGCACACACCGCCCGUCAA
rnacentral:rRNA from 1 species